UACGUAGGGUGCAAGCGUUGUCCGGAAUUAUUGGGCGUAAAGAGCUCGUAGGCGGUCUGUUGCGUCGGCUGUGAAAACUCAGGGCUUAACCCUGAGCUUGCAGUGGGUACGGGCAGACUAGAGUGCGGUAGGGGAGACUGGAAUUCCUGGUGUAGCGGUGAAAUGCGCAGAUAUCAGGAGGAACACCGGUGGCGAAGGCGGGUCUCUGGGCAACAACUGACGCUGAGGAGCGAAAGCGUGGGGAGCGAACAGG
rnacentral:rRNA from 1 species